rnacentral:rRNA from 1 species
AUAAAAUUUAUAUAAUAAUUCUAUAUUUUUAUAAAAAUAAUAAUAAAUAUUUUGUAAUUUAAUCGUUAGAUUAUCUUUUUUAAUUUUUUUUUUAGGGUUAUUUUCUAUCCUUUUUGUAUGACGGUUUUACAAUUUUUAAAGUAAAAUUUACUUUACUCGAAAUAAAGUGAUUUAUAUUUUUUAAAUACUGUUUUGUGUAAAAAAUAGUAUAUUCUUAUAAAAAAAUAUAGUGAUUAUAUGUUAAGCAAACUUUAUUAUAACUAGUUUAAACCUAAUGUUUUAAACUUUUUAAAAUUUAUAUUUUAAUACGGCUAUAGGGGUCAGCUCUAUAGGCAAGGAAAAUUUAAGUAUAGUUAAAAGAAAUAUUAUAAAAAACCUUAAAAUUUAAAGUGUUUUAAAAGUGUGUAAACUUUUUAUUGUUAUUUUAUUAAUAUUUUUUAAGUACUAAUAUAGGUUUAUUUAAUAUGGUAAGAAUAAGUAAUUUAUGGUUAUAAUUUUUAGAUUUAAUAUUUAUUUAAAUAAAUACUCUUAUAAAAUAAAUAAAAGUACUCAAAUAUAAUAUAUACUAUUUACUAAAUGUUUCUCUAGAUGAUCCUUAUAUCUAGUUAAUUAGCACAUAUGGAUGACUAAAACUUAUUCUCUUAUUAUAUAUUCCUUAAUUAGGAGUAUAUAGAGCUAAUAUAUAUUAUAUUAAUUUAUAUUUAUCGAAAUGAAAUUACAUUAAAGGUAAAAUAUGCCUUUAUAAUAUAAAAGGACGAAAAGACCCUAGGUAAUUUAGGUUAAUAAAUAAAAAAUAAUAUUUAAAAACUUUACUGGGGCGGUAGGUAUUUAUAAUUAAACAAUAUUUUUUAACUAUAUUAUUAUAAUAUUCUUAUGAUCCUUUUUAUUAAGAUUUGGAGUAAAUUAACCCUAGGGAUAACAGCGCAAUAUAUAAAAAGAGUUCUUAUCGAAUUAUAUAUUUACGACCUCGAUGUCGGCUUAAUAACAUUUUAUGGUGCAGUCGUUUUAAAAUUGAAGAUUGUUCCUCUUUUAUAUUAUUACAUGAGCUGGGUUUAGAGCGGAGUGAUCUAGUUCGGUUUUUAUCCUUUAUUUAUAUUCUAAAUAGUACGAAAGGAAAUUUAGUUUUUUAUUUUUUAA